CGAUCCUAGCUUUAUACAUCCAAUGGAUGAAAAUGGGUUCAUCAAACACAAAAUCAAUCCAAUGGAUAAAAUUACCCAUGUUGUAUUUAGACCCUUCGUUUUUCCCACAACCCUAAACAGCCGAACCUAAAUUAAUUUUGAAACCACACUCUCUCUCAAAAUAUGAUCCUCCUUCUUCUCUAUAACUCAAACAAACGACUGGAUCUCUCACCAAGGAGCUACCCUGACAAUGGCACCACCUCCGUCUCCAGCAUCAACCACCAUCGCUAGCACUAACGUCAGCCACCGCCGUCGUGACCACAAUUCUCUAUAACCCAAACAAACGACUGGAUCACUGCCACUUUCGUUCACCUUCGAUCUUCACUAUCAUAGCCAUGAUUCUCUAAUAGUCCAGGAUAUCGCCCCUUUUAUCUACCCUUAAAAAUCGAAGAUACCAUGUUUUUCAACAAGAUAAAUAAAAAGAUUUAUUGAAAGUUGUACGAAAGGUUUUAAGUUAAAGUUUGUACAUCAAGAAGAAAUGUGACAGAAGGUAUGCAUUUACUCUUUUCUAACAAAGAACCAUCUAGCUGAAAUUGUGCAACAAAGAAACACGAUUCCUUCUGUUUACAUUAGUUGCUUGCUGUCAAGGAACAUGCCAAACUAAAGAUCGGGAAAAGUUUAACGAGAAUAAGGUCCUGAAAUGGGAGGACAUUGGAUCAACCGACCCAAAUUUCUCCUGCAAGAUAAAAGUUUAGAAAAGAGAGUUGUCCUUUUAUCCGAUCAUGGUUGCUCAUACAUCCAUCUCCAUUCAUUGAAAUAUUUAAAGUUGGAUUAAUAAGCACGACAAAUCUAAAUGAAUUUCAUAAUGCAUCCGUGUAAGCUCUAAUUCCAUGUCUCCUUCUUUAGCCCCGCCAUUUAGGAAUCAUAUGGGUUUAAGGAGCAAACUGGAGCUUCAUGUUGGAAUUAAGUAUAAGUUUGUUUUAUAUUGGUAUCAUUUUUGGUAUUAUAUUACAUAUUUUCAGGUUAAAA